rnacentral:other from 1 species
AGAUACCUAGAGGAAAAUGUCUAUGUCUAUUAUAAAACCGACUAGAUAGAUGAUAAGGGAAUCUAAUUGGAUUGUGGUGUAGAAGACUUAACCAUUAAGUGAGUAAGGAUCCUAAAAUAGUUCAUGUGAUGCCCACCUCGCGAGAGCGGGUUUUUAUCAAAGCAGGACACCUUUGGGUUUUAU